rnacentral:lncRNA from 1 species
GCCUAUAGAGUUUGGAAGUUGAGCAAGUUUAUGGCAUUCUGUUAAGUCAAGGCCAGACAGAGAUGUUGAAUUGCCUAUUGGGUUGGGUAUGCAGACUAACGAUGCGCAAUAUGAGGCAUCUAGAGUCUCGAGCUCCUUCAAAGAACCAAUGGAUUCGGGUAAUUCUUCAAUGGCCGUAGAUUUCAAAUACAGCUCGGUCAAUGAUGUCAACUUUCCGAUAGAGUCUGGGAUUUGUCUCAACGAGUGGCAUCCCGACAAUAACAACUGCCGUAGAGACACGAGGAAGCCUAUAGAGUUUGGAAGUUGAGCAAGUUUAUGGCAUGCUAUUAGGUCAAGGCGAGACAGAGAUGUUGAAUUGCUUAUUGAGUUGGGUAUGCGGACUAACGAUGCGUAAUAUGAGGCAUCUAGAGUCUUGAGCUCCUUCAAAGAACCAAUGGAUUCGGGUAAUUCUUCAAUGGCCGUAGAUAUCAAAUACAGCUCGGUCAAUGAUGUCAACUUUCCGAUCAAGUCUGGGAUUUGUCUCAACGAGUGGCAUCCCCACAGUAACAAUUGCGAUAGAGACAUGAGGAAGCCUAUAGAGUUUGGAAGUUAAGCAAGUUUAUGGCAUGCUAUUAGGUCAAGGCGAGACAGAGAUGUUGAAUUGCCUAUUGAGUUGGGUAUGCGGACUAACGAUGCGCAAUAUGAGGCAUCUAGAGUCUUGAGCUCCUUCAAAGAACCAAUGGAUUCGGGUAAUUCUUCAAUGGCCGUAGAUAUCAAAUACAGCUCGGUCAAUGAUGUCAACUUUCUGAUCGAGUCUGGGAUUUGUCUCAAUGAGUGGCAUCCCCACAGUAACAAUUGUGAUAGAGACACGAGGAAGCCUAUAGAGUCUGGAAGUUGAGCAAGUUAAUUGCAUUCUGUUAGGUCAAGGCGAGAUAGAGAUGUGGAAUUGCCUAUUGAGUUGGGUAUGCGGACUAACGAUGCACAAUAUGAGGCAUCUAGAGUCUUGAGCUCCUUCAAAGAACCAAUGGAUUCGGGUAAUUCUUCAAUGGCCGUAGAUGUCAAAUACAGUUCGGUCAAUGAUGUCAACUUUUCGAUCGAGUCUGGGAUUUGUCUCAACGAGUGGAAUCCCCACAAUAACAAUUGCGAUAGAGACACGAGGAAGCCUAUAGAGUUUGGAAGUUAAGCAAGUUUAUGGUAUGCUGUUAGGUCAAGGCGAGACAGAGAUGUUGAAUUGCCUAUUGAGUUGGGUAUGCGGGCUAACGAUGCGCAAUAAGAGGCAUCUAGAGUCUCGAGCUCCUGCAAAGAACCAAUGGAUUCAGGUAAUUCUUCAAUGGCCGUAGAUUUCAAAUGCAACUCGAUCAAUGAUGUCAACUCUCUGAUCGAGUCCGGGAUUUGUCUCAACUAGUAACAUCUCGACAAUAACAACUGCAAUAGAGACAUGAGGAAGCCUAUAGAGUCUGGAAGUUAAGCAAGUUUAUGGCAUCCUGUUAG